rnacentral:rRNA from 1 species
UACAGAGGGGGCAAGCGUUGUUCGGAAUUACUGGGCGUAAAGGGCGCGUAGGCGGCCUUCUAAGUCGAACGUGAAAUCCCCGGGCUCAACCCGGGAACUGCGUCCGAUACUGGAAGGCUUGAAUCCGGCAGAGGAAGGUGGAAUUCCGGGUGUAGUGGUGAAAUGCGUAGAGAUCCGGAGGAACACCAGUGGCGAAGGCGGCCUUCUGGGCCUUUCCUGACGCUGAGGCGCGAAAGCGUGGGGAGCGAACCGG